GGCAGAUUGUAUUUUUCAAAAAAUGUCCACAACAAUGUUUUCAACCCCACAUGCUCAUUCUAAAGCUCUGUGACUCUUCCAUCAGGAGAUGAGGGCUGGCUCUUCUCCUCUUGAGCCCGGGUGGGCCUUUUGACUGCUUUGACUAACAAGGCACACUAGACUGUCCAGGGUUUCUAAGAAGCUGGGUCAAGGAGGCAGGACAGUAUCCAAGGUGGCCUCUCUCAUGAUGCAUACCCUUGGAGCCACCGACAGUUGCAUAAGCAGCCAGCCACUCUGGAUCCUGGUUUUAGGUCUCCACAAACAUCUGAGGAAGAAGCAUUUGGGGAUGUUGAUGAGAAGAAAAACGUGGAUGUGAGCCUAGGUGCCUCCGACUCUCUGAACCUUUUGUCCAAACUGGCAUCUCUCUGUGAAGAGGCUCUCUGGGACCUGCAUGUCUGCACCAGAACGAGCACCAGACUGGUAGACUGCUCACUCAUCUGCUGUAGCAAGCUGAAGAGACUUGAGCUUUCUGGUGGUUGGUUUGUUUGCCUGGUGAGGAUGGGUUCUGUGAGGGGCCCUUUGCCAGCGUGUACAUCAAGAGAGCUUUGCUUUCCAGCCACCCUGGGGAUGGCCGGCUUCUGGUGAGUUCAGCAUGAGUCAUCUGCCUCCCCUGGAGUGUUUAUGGCAAGUCACGAGUGCUGUGUCUGCUGAGGCCAUCUGGGAAAGGAGGAUGUACUUGGGAGCUGUCUGUUUGUCCUCUGAACCUGGAGGGGACUUCAUCAAGUGGAGAGUCACUCUUUUCCUAGGAGGGAACAUGGAGGCAGUUCUCCUCCUCCUCCAUACAGUUCACUGAUGAGCAAUUUUCUAAGCAGAACCCCUGGAGACCAGCAUCUGCUCUGGCCCCUUCCCAAGCUGAGGUGGAAGACCCCACACUGGGAGGAUGACACCGGGGAGGCAUUGACCUUUCCUUUGAUGACAUCCCUGGGCCUUGAGCUAAUUGUGAAGGAGACUUCACAACUGAGUUAUCAUUCUGUCACUCAGCUGCUCCCACAGCUGCUCGUUCUUGAGAGAGGCCAAGAGCAGCCAAAUCCUCCCUUCCCAUACAACCAUGCUAAGAUCCACCCACCCCUGCCUUCAUGAUUGC
rnacentral:lncRNA from 1 species